rnacentral:rRNA from 1 species
UACGUAGGUGGCAAGCGUUGUCCGGAUUUAUUGGGUUUAAAGGGUGCGUAGGCGGUCUUAUAAGUCAGUGCUGAAAUAUCCCGGCUUAACCGGGAGGGUGGCAUUGAUACUGUAGGACUUGAGUAAAGUUGAGGUUGGCGGAAUUGACGGUGUAGCGGUGAAAUGCGCAGAUAUCAGGAGGAACACCGGUGGCGAAGGCGGUUCUCUGGGCAUGAUCUGACGCUGAGGAGCGAAAGUGUGGGGAGCGAACAGG